AUACAAUAGUGGCGCACGGGUGCGUAACACGUAUGCAACCUACCUUAUACUGGGGGAUAGCCUUUGGAAACGGAGAUUAAUACCCCAUAGCACAUUUAGAUGGCAUCAUUUGAAUGUUAAAGAUUUAUCGGUAUAAGCUGGGCAUGCGUCCAAUUAGUUAGUUGGUGAGGUAAUGGCUCACCAAGACUUUGAUUGGUAGGGGAACUGAGAGGUUAAUCCCCCACACUGGCACUGAGAUACGGGCCAGACUCCUACGGGAGGCAGCAGUAGGGAAUAUUGGGCAAUGGAGGCAACUCUGACCCAGCCAUGCCGCGUGCAGGAAGAAGGCGUUAUGCGUUGUAAACUGCUUUUAUAUAGGAAGAAAUAGUCCUUGCGAGGAAAGUUGACGGUACUAUAUGAAUAAGCACCGGCUAACUCCGUGCCAGCAGCCGCGGUAAUACGGAGGGUGCAAGCGUUGUCCGGAUUUAUUGGGUUUAAAGGGUGCGUAGGCGGUUUAUUAAGUCAGUGGUGAAAGACGGUCGCUCAACGAUUGCAGUGCC
rnacentral:rRNA from 1 species